rnacentral:pre_miRNA from 1 species
AGUGGGAUAGCUGAGUCAAAUGGUGGUUCCCUUCCACAUUUUUUAAGGAAUCUUCAUACUGCUUUCCAGAUUGGUUGCACCAAUUUGCAGUCUCACUGGCAAU